CGAGGAGGAGGACGAGGAAGACGAGGAUUUGUGCUCGCUCAGCGAAACUCUAAUAGCUGAGUUGGCAUUGAGAGACGAGUAGAUAUCACCACGUGACAAAAAAGAGAAACCAAAUACAAAAUAGUAACAGCCCUUUGCCGCAGCAUAGAUCCAUACAAGAUUCCAAGUAUUUGACAACAGUGAUACCUUAUCACGUGGAUAGUGGCCCACCUGAUGAUCAAGCUUUACAAGUCCUCAUUAAGA